rnacentral:rRNA from 1 species
AAAAAUCGCACCUAUCGUAUGCUACGUUAAUCACUUAGUCUUGUCUCUAUGGUUCGGUCUAUGGUUUGUACCGAUGGUGUGUGUAUCACACACGAAUUGUAUUAUUGAC